AGAGUUUUGAUCAUGGCUCAGGAUGAACGCUAGCUACAGGCUUAACACAUGCAAGUCGAGGGGCAUCAUGGGAGUUGCUUGCAGCUUCUGAUGGCGACCGGCGCACGGGUGAGUAACGCGUAGGCAACCUGCCCUUAGCAGGGGGAUAGCCAUUGGAAACGAUGAUUAAAACCCCAUAAUACGAAUAUAUCACAUGGCAUAUUCGUCAAAGAUUUAUCGGCUAAGGAUGGGCCUGCGUCUGAUUAGAUAGUUGGUGAGGUAACGGCUCACCAAGUCAACGAUCAGUAGCCGACCUGAGAGGGUGAUCGGCCACAUUGGAACUGAGACACGGUCCAAACUCC
rnacentral:rRNA from 1 species